UUAAUCAGCUAAAACUGACGAACUUUUCAUGUUUUCUAUUUUUAACAGCUGCCAAGUUAAAUGAACUUACAAGCAGAAGCAGAUUGGCUUUUGGAUCGUUUGUUGACAAAGUAGUGGCACCGUACACACGGCAUGAAAAGUAAAUAAGUAUAAAUAUUGUCAGAGAAAAAUAGAAAAUAUGAAGCUUUGUUUUUUAUAGAGUUUCCGGAAUCUUUUUUUGCUGGUGGAAAAUUUUCAAAUUUUUAUCACAGGGAAAAUUUUCAUCUAAAGUGUCAUUUUGGGAAUGGGAAAAGUGCAAAGUUUUAAACGAAUCGUGUAAAAAGUUACACUCUUUGAAAGAUUUAAUUCCAUUUCACCAUUUAAUAUUUUCUGUUUUAUAUAUAAUUUUAUAAUAUAGCAUUUGUAAAUUCUGAACGCUGAUUGGCUAAGAGCCGUGUUGAUAUAACUCAAUGUCAACACGGGAAAUUUUCCGCCGCUUGUAAACACGGAAAUUUUUCUUAUCUUUCGGGCUUUUGACAUUGCAAUAUUAUAAAAAAAAUAUAAAACAUUUUUUCCGUAUUGACAUAAAGUUAUAUCAACACUCGUGGAAAUUGGGAAAACUCGAAAUUGUGUGAAAACACUCCGCCCUUCGGGCGUCGUGUUUCCACACAAUUUCUCGUUUUCCCAAUUUCCACUCGUGUUGAUAUAACUGUAUAUCAACACGGAAAAUGUUUUAUAUUUGUUAAUUAUAAUAUAGCAUUUGUAAAUACUGAACGCUGAUUGGCUAAGAGCCGUGUUGAUAUAACUCAAUGUCAACACGGGAAAUUUUCCGCCGCUUGUAAACACGGAAAUUUUUCUUAUCCUUCGGGCUUUUGACAUUGCUAUAUUAUAAAAAAAAAUUAAAACAUUUUUUCCGUAUUGAUAUAUAGUUACGUCAACACUCGUGGAAGUUGGGAAAACUCGAAAUUGUAUGAAAACACUCCGCCCUUCGGGCGUUUCCCGUUUUCUCGUUUUCCCAGUUCCACUCGUGUUGAUGUAACUGUAUAUCAACACGGAAAAUGUUUUAUAUUUGUUAAAUAAUAUACAAAUAAUAGUGGCAGUUAAAAUCAAAAUGCCACAUUACUGAAGAGGCUGUGAAUAGCCCGCCCCCCGAAUAGGGUUGAACUAACGGCCGGUCAACGGACAAAACUGAGUGUUGACCGAACAAAUCCUUAGAUCGCCCGUCAUGUUGCCAGGACAAUUCAUGUGGUUUGAAAGGAAAUUUAUUUUUCAACAAUUUCGUAUAAAACCAGACCUCGAAAAUAUUACCUUUAGAAAGCUCUUGUCAAGUUUUCCUACUCGGACGUACACACGAACAAAUUUUCCUUGACCAACAGCUGGCAUGACUUUAGCUUUGCACUCCUUGGCAAGGAAAAAUUGUCAACUUUAUGCAGUAUGCACGAGAAAACGUCUUAAUGAACAAUUGAUCGUCUGCAUGUAUCGUGCAGGCUAGCUUAACCGGGCACCUACAGCAUAGUUGUAUAUUCACCUGUAUAGUCUGGUUAACCUGGAAGUCUUGCUUAUACCAUGGAUAAUAAAAUAAAUGGAUAGGAAACUAGCUGACGUGACCUAAUGUUUUCAAUGGGCUGAUGGCGGGGUUGGAUGUUCAAACCUAGUUGCAAACCAAAUUCUCAAAAACGGCAUGUUUAGCAAUAAUACAGCUAAACAUUUUAGUCAAAGAGCAAAUAAAUGUAACCACGCCAUUCUACGAUGAAAUCUUUAAGUAUUCCCAGUCAAUUUUAGCAAAUAUUGCAAGCACUCCACCUAAACAGUGAAAAAUGCAUCGCAAAUUUCGUUAAAAUUGGCGACGCCAAUUUCGUAGUUACAAAUGUAAAAAAAUACAAAACAAAGACGAAAACAUUUACGUUGAAUACUUUGUCGUGGCUUAGGCAUGUUUUUAAAACAAUUAGACCAGUUUAUGCUUCAAUAUUAUUCUUUUAAAGCGGAAAAUAUAACGAAACAACAAAAAUGCUGAGAACUUUGGCAAUGCGCGUGACGUGACAGAUUGCAACUAGGUUUAGACUGUGACGUCAGCUAGUUUCCUAUCCAUUUAUUUUACAAUCCAUGCUUAUACCCUGCUGUUGGAAAUAGUGUGCACCAUGCUCCGCUUAAAAUUUAUUUUUAAGAAUUGUGUCGUGAAUAUACAGUAUGUUUUAGUUUAUUAAUAUGCGAAUGAUGAUAAUUUGUUUAGGAUUGGACUGCCAUACAGCCCAGGAAAGGAUAAGCCAUAUGAUUAUAAGCAUAUACUCACUUUUACUGGGAACGCAAAUGAAUUCAGGGUAA